UGUGUCCUACGGGGGGCAGCAGUGAGGAAUAUUGGUCAAUGGGAGAGAUCCUGAACCAGCCAAGCCGCGUGAGGGAAGACGGCCCUAUGGGUUGUAAACCUCUUUUGUCGGAGAACAAAACCCGGGACGUGUCCCGGACUGCGUGUAUCCGAAGAAAAAGCAUCGGCUAACUCCGUGCCAGCAGCCGCGGUAAUACGUAGGGUGCGAGCGUUAAUCGGAAUUACUGGGCGUAAAGGGUGUGCAGGCGGCUGAGUAAGACAGAUGUGAAAUCCCCGGGCUUAACCUGGGAACCGCAUAUGUGACUG
rnacentral:rRNA from 1 species